UAGCAUCUUAAGUACAAGGAGAGAUAACAAAGCCUUUCUAAGUGAAUGAUGCAAAGUAAGAGGAAAACAAAAGAAUGGGAAAGACUAUAGAGCUCUUCAAGAAAAUUAGAGAUACCAAGGGAACAUUUCAUGCAAAGAUGGGCACAGUAAAGGACAGAAACAAUACGGAUCUAG